ACAGAGUACGUGUACGUAUUUACAACAUCCUCGUUGUUAACCACAUAGUAAGACUUGUGCCAUUCCUUUAAUGAGAGUUUAGUUGAUUUUAAACAUAGAUAGACGUGGCAUCGUGUGUUCAUGCCUAACUCUGUCGAAAGAUUCAACAUCGUGAUAGUGCUGUGAUAGUUUGACCUCGCACCGCACUUCAGCUUGACAACGACUUGUCAUUGUGUCAGGUGUCGAUACUGUGGGGUUUGCCCAUGUUGAUUCAAUGUACAGUGCAAUAUAGGGGAUUUACCAGGGAGUAUUCCCAACGCUCAACGACCAUAUAACACCGAAAGAAUAACAGCGACCUCACUUCCACUGUAACUUGACGGUCGUGAACACUUGUCUGCCACAUAGCAUCAACUGGAACGAUGGCAAAAUGUGCAUAUGUAUUUGUCGUCAUCUGCCUGUUUUUCGUCUCAAUGGCACUUGGACGUCCAAACAUUUCGUGGAUAAGACCUCCGAAAGGUGAUCGGAGUCACAGGACAGCAGAAGUGCCUUCAGCAGGCUGCCAGAUCUUCACUGCAGUUCGCCAAUGUCAGCCGACACUUUUUUCCAGAAAACUGUAAAUUCAUGUGCGACAUUAUGACCCGAAUUUGCAAGGCUGCUCCUCCAGUCAGAUACCACCACUGUACGUCUGACGUUAUCAAGUGUUACCUCAAUACCAUGGUAGCGCAUCUCAACGGUACCACGAACUACACAGAAUCACCAAACGGUGCCACACAGUUCCUUGUUGACCUCGGACAGUCACAGAAUUGUACACGUGCAGGGACUGGUUGAGGAAUAGACACAUAGCUAUACUACAUGUGUACAUAGCAUCAACAUCGUAGAUGUAAACAAUUCUUGAUGAGGUGGUGAUUCGCUACCAUAAGGACUCCAUCUGUGAUACCUUCCAAUGUCUAUGUCUAAAAACGAUAAACACUGCUCACGGAAUGAUGCUGCUGGAGUAUUCCUGAAGAACAGACUUUAAGUGUUCUUUUAUCCCCCUUCUCACUCAGAAUGAUGUUCCAUCUGUGAUACCUUUCUGACAGAAUCUCUUACUGGAACGAUUGCGACAACUCAUAAUGUCCAACGCCAUAAUGUUGCUGGGAUCUGGGUGCCUGGGAAGUACUCUUUCAAUCCCUUUUCACCCAGCAGGAUGCUAUAUACACAACAUCUCCUGCAAUGUGGACAUGGUGAAGGAAAUGUCUGUCAUUGUUCCCUCAGUGGAGCAAUCGUCUUCUUCCACGAGACUGCCAUCUUCUUCCACGAGAUGAACAAUGUACAAGUGUGUAUAAAACACUCGUAGUGCCAAAGCCAGUCUACCUACGUGUCUGGCUGUACUUACCAUUAUAGGCAUCUAGUUUAGAAACCUUGUGAUGUAAUAUGUUGGCGAUACAGCAAUAUACAAUUGUGUACAAAACACCCGUAGUGCCAAAGCCUGUCUACCUACAUGUCUGGCUGUACUUACCAUUAUAUGCAUCUAGUUUAAGACCCUUGUGAUGUAAUAUGUUGGCGAUAUAGCGAUAAGCGAUUGUGUAUAAACACCCGUAGUGCCAAAGCCUGUCUACCUACGUGUCUGGCUGUACUUACCAUUAUAGCAUCUAGUUUAGAACCUUGUGAUGUAAUGUGUUGGCGAUACAGGGAUAUACAAUUGUGUACAAAACACCCGUAGUGCCAAAGCCUGUCAACCUACGUGUCUGGCUGUACUGGCUAUCAUAGGCAUCUAGUUUAAGACCCUUGUGAUGUCAUAUGCUUACUUCCAUAUGGCAAUAGAAACUCCACUGAUAUUGUAUUAUACGUCGUUUACAUGUCUGGAAACAAGUUGACUCUGGUAUUUACAUGUGAUGCAUAUUUUUAAUUUUUGAUAGUUCAUGUGCAUUGAGAUGGAAUAAAAUUAGAUCAAAUUA